AUUUAAAUGAGUAGUUAUUGUUGCAAACUCCAUUAGAAAUUUUAAUUGAGAUUAGUUUUGGAAUAAGGGAAAGGGGGAUGUGAUUAAAAAAAUUGGGUUCAAUUUUUCUCAUUUGAAAUUUCAUAAAUAAAAAAGAAAAUUUCUUCAAACAUUUUUAUGCCCCAACUACGAUAGUAGAGGGGCAUUAUGUUUUCUGGUCUGUGCGUCCGUCCGUCUGUCCGUUUGUCCGUCCGUCCGUUCGUCCGUCCGUCUGUCCCGCUUCAGGUUAAAGUUUUUGGUCAAGGUAGUUUUUGAUGAAGUUUAAGUCCAAUCGACUUUAAACUUAGUACACAUGUCCCCUAUGAUAUGAUCUUUCUAAUUUUAAUGCCAAAUUAGAGUUUUUACCCCAAUUUCACGGUCCACUGAACAUGGAAAAUGAUAGUGCGAGUGGGGCAUUCGUGUACUGAGGACACAUUCUUG
rnacentral:lncRNA from 1 species